rfam:Basidiobolus meristosporus CBS 931.73 K493scaffold_1315, whole genome shotgun sequence.
GAACACUAGCAAAGAAUCGCGAUUCGAAGCAUCACCUACUGAAAGGAAGUUUACUUGCCUUUGGAUUUGCUUUGGGGAAAGUCCUCGGACCUGUGGUAGAAAGUACCGUCUAUAAUUGAUCAUCCGUUUGCUUGGUUUGGUUGGCAUAGAUGGAGAACAUCCGGAGCCUUAAGCCAGAUUGCUUACGGCCGUUCGUCAUAGCACAGUAAUGCGAUUGUGGUUCAAGAACCAUAACACAACGGGGCUCACUCUUGCAGUGUU